AUUACCAAUAUCUUGUUUAAGUUGUUCUAACUCAGACUUGUCAUGAGACAGGGCAGCAUCAUUUUUCUGCUGCUCAGCUAAAAGUUUAUUAAUUUUCUGUUCCAUCUGUGGGAAAAUCUAAGUGAAAGCAUAAAAGGUAAAAUGAAUAUAAUGAACAUCCAUUAAACACAUGAUAAAUAAAGCUGGAGACACCAAGAAAGAAGAAGUACAUGACCUUGUCGUCGCCUGUAACCUUUUAAUCCAUACAAAAAGAUUGCUUGCAACCCUUCCGAAGCGAAAGGAAAAAAGCUAUGCAUGUUCAGUAGAACAAAAAAGGAAAUUUUUGUUCCAAUUUAUAUAAAGCAAAAACUCUGAAUGACAUAUACAUUAGUGUUGCACAUAAUGAAGUUACACCAAGUCUAAGUGCCCAUUAACUGCUUUAAUCCAUUUGAAGCUCAAGUGAGUAGAUGUUCUAAUAGUUUCAGUCAGACCAUACAUAUGAAGUAAUAAAACAUUCUGCAAUCUUAAGUAUGAAAACUAAGCUUCAAAUUAUAGAAACACAUUUAAUCACUUUCCAAAUAACAUUUCUCCAUGAAAGAAUGAGUAGAGUACAAAGUAACUCUUAUUGCGUAGCUAAAUCUUUUGUUCCCUCAGUUGGACUUCAAUUAACUUGCACCUUGAUUAUAGAAACACAUCCAAUCACUUUCCAAAUAACAUUUCUCCAUGAAAGAAUGAGUAGAGUACAAAGUAACUCUUAUUGCGUAGCUAAAUCUUUUGUUCCCUCAGUUGGACUUCAAUUAACUUGCACCUUGAUGCUACGAUCAGCCGUAUGAAG
rnacentral:lncRNA from 1 species